AGUGAACGCUGGCGGUAGGCCUAACACAUGCAAGUCGACCGGCAGCACAGUAAGAGCUUGCUCUUACGGGUGGCGAGUGGCGGACGGGUGAGGAAUACAUCGGAAUCUACUUUUUCGUGGGGGAUAACGUAGGGAAACUUACGCUAAUACCGCAUACGACCUACGGGUGAAAGCAGGGGAUCUUCGGACCUUGCGCGAUUGAAUGAGCCGAUGUCGGAUUAGCUAGUUGGCGGGGUAAAGGCCCACCAAGGCGACGAUCCGUAGCUGGUCUGAGAGGAUGAGGAGCCACACUGGGACUGGGCCACGGCCCAGACCCCUACGGGAGGCAGGAGUGGGGAAUAUUGGAGAAUGGGCGAAAGCCUGAUCCAGCAAGGCCGCGUGAGUGAUGAAGGCCUUAGGGUUGUAAAGCUCUUUUACCCGGGAGGAUAAUGACAGUACCGGGAGAAUAAGCACCGGCUAACUCCGUG
rnacentral:rRNA from 1 species